rnacentral:rRNA from 1 species
UACGUAGGGGGCAAGCGUUGUCCGGAUUUAUUGGGCGUAAAGAGCGUGUAGGCGGCCAAGCAGGUCCGCUGUGAAAACUCGAGGCUCAACCUCGAGAGGUCGGUGGAAACCGUUUGGCUAGAGUCCGGAAGAGGAGAGUGGAAUUCCCGGUGUAGCGGUGAAAUGCGCAGAUAUCAGGAGGAACACCGGUGGCGAAGGCGGGUCUCUGGGCCGUAACUGACGCUGAGGAGCGAAAGCGUGGGGAGCGAACAGG